GAAUAUUGGACAAUGGGGGCAACCCUGAUCCAGCAAUGCCGCGUGGAUGAUGAAGGCCUUCGGGUUGUAAAAUCCUUUUCUGCGGGAAGAUAAUGACGGUACCGCAGGAAUAAGUUCCGGCUAACUACGUGCCAGCAGCCGCGGUAAAACGUAGGGGACAAGCGUUAUCCGGAUUUACUGGGCGUAAAGCGCCCGUAGGCGGCCUUUCAAGUUGGAUGUGAAAGCUCCUGGCUUAACUGGGAGAGGUCAUUCAAAACUGGGGGGCUAGAGGAUGGAAGAGGAGGGCGGAAUUCCCGGUGUAGUGGUGGAAUGCGUAGAGAUCGGGAGGAACACCAGUGGCGAAAGCGGCUCUCUGGUCCGUACCUGACGCUGAGGGGCGAAAGCGUGGGGAGCGAACGGG
rnacentral:rRNA from 1 species